UACGUAGGGUGCGAGCGUUGUCCGGAAUUAUUGGGCGUAAAGAGCUCGUAGGCGGUGUGUCACGUCGGCCGUGAAAACCUGCAGCUUAACUGUGGGCGUGCGGUCGAUACGGGCAUCACUGGAGUUCGGCAGGGGAGACUGGAAUUCCUGGUGUAGCGGUGAAAUGCGUAGAUAUCGGGAGGAACACCAGUGGCGAAGGCGGCCAUCUGGACCGCAACUGACGCUGAGGCGCGAAAGCGUGGGGAGCAAACAGG
rnacentral:rRNA from 1 species